rnacentral:misc_RNA from 1 species
AUCUUUAAUUUAUUUAUAAUAUAAAAAAUAUACAUUUAAAGUGUGGGUUUUAAAUACAAGUGAUCGUAGAACCUCGCUAACGCUCGGUUCGCCAAAUCAGUAAUGAUCCUUCCGCAGGUUCACCUACGGAAA